rnacentral:lncRNA from 1 species
UGGUGAUGACAAUGUUUUCACCCCUGACAUCCUUUAGUCAUCUCUGAGGGGCGGUGCAGUGCGUGUGGUGGUUUGGAGUUGGUGAUGGUUCUCUUUUUUCUUCUUUUUGAGUUGAACUUUGGCUUUUUGCAGGUUGUGUCGUUGUCCUAAUUCGACUAGCUUGUUUUUCUUUUCCUCUUUGUUGAGCUGGUUUUCCAACAUGGUUGUUGGUCGUUGUGCCCACUCUAGAUUUAUCUUUGUUUAAUAGACUAGGUAGCGUGCCCGUGCGUUG